AUUAUCAUGGUGUUCAGUGCAAAAAGCUAUGUAACUGUAUAGAUUAUAAGAAGUGUGACCCAGUUCUUGGCUGCAUGUGUUUGGGAUACAGGGUUUACCGGUUCAAAAUGCUCAAAUGAAUGCCACCAGGGUUUCUAUAACUUUAGUUACAAUUACAACUGCUCUGAGACCUGUUUAUGUAAAAACGAUACAUUCUGUAACCAACGCUCAGGAAUAUGCGAGUGUAGAGACGGAACUUCGUGCAAAAACAUAACGAAAGAACCUGCUCCGAAGAAGCAAACUAAUACACAAAGUGUCCCAUUUAUUAAACUGGCGAAUUUCUUGGCCGUUGUCAUGCCUAUGCUGUUAUUUACAUGUUUCGUCCUUAUAAAACAACAUAAACAGCAGUUCCAACAAAGCCUUCUAGAUAGAGAAAUAGUCGAUGAUCAAACAUAUCAAAAUGCUAUUUACUGCGAAAUAAAUGAUGACCAGGUCAGGGAUCAGACGAGAGUAAACUCCGUUGGAACCGGAAACUACAACUCAGAGAAAAAAUGUCAGCAAACAACAGAAGAGAACCAUAGACAUAUUUAUAUUGCUAAAUCCCUUCCAAAUUUAUGCAUGUAUGAGGAACAGUAUCUCAGUCCUUACUGUUCUCUUCAAAAUGCUGAUAAUGACUAUCUAAACCCAUACUGUGCACUAGGGUUGGGGAGGAGGGUUAUCAGUUGUUCAAAUCUGUUUACUAUUACAGACACUAUAGAUGUCGCAAAUUGAAAGUAUUCAAAUAUUCUUGUUAUCUAUAAUGUUUUAAGAUGACAUGAUUUUGCUUUUCAAUUUCAAUGUCAUAAAAUAAUGAUUUUGUGAUAAAACUAAAUCGGAACGUUAACCCCCAUGUGCAAAACUGAUCCCGUACGGAGUUAGCUUUUAAAACCUUUUUGCUGUUAUGCUCUCAAACGUUUUAUAUGUCGAAGGCUUCAUUUGGUGAAGAGUAAUAUUAAACGAUGAUCUAUAAAUACACGACUUUUUCAAUUGAAUUGUAUUCUUGUUAUUCAAACCUGAAUAAUAUAUGCUAAUAUUGUUCUUCCCAUUUUCCAUUGCAGUACUGCCUUACUAUUCCUCAACUGCAAAACACAGGUUUUAUCAAUACAAUCCGGUUGAAACUCGUCAUACAGUGAUUUUCCUCUCUCAAGAUUGGAGUUCCAUUAGUUGAUAUCAAAUACAUUAACUGGAAUAAAUUGCAGGAAACACA